rnacentral:misc_RNA from 1 species
ACACGUCAUCCCUGUUUCCAGGGACUAAUCCGUACAUGUCAAACCCAGGUAAGGUUUUGCGCGUUGCUUCGAAUUAAACCACAUGCUCCACCGCUCGUGUGAGCCCCCGUCAAUUCCUUUGAGUUUCGGCCUUGCGACUGUACUUCCCAGGCGGGGCACUUAACACAUUAGCUCCAGCAGGGAGAGCAUCGGAACUCCCCCUGCCUAGUGCCCAUCGUUUACGGCUUGGACUAC